GCAUACUCAUUGGGGGCUUCGAAAGAAUUCUUGUCUUUACCGAGGCUAAUUUUACUAUCAUUCACAGGGGGUUUUAAGAAAAUUCUUGUCUUUUCCGAGGCUAAUCUAUGUACUCUACCGUAGGGUCACUGGCAAGCCCGCGUAGCGGGCUUCGUAGGGGAGCUAUCUCUACAAUAAUACUAAUGUGCGGAUAUGCAAAUGAGCUCGCUCCGUUGAUAUCGGUCCGAUUACAUCUGAUAUCGGUCCGUUCCCAUCGAAAGUUCUUGCACGAACUCCGCAAAAACUGCUACACCCCUUGAACUGAGCUUCGGUAGUUCGGUUCCUAUGGGGUUGCGAUUGUGUGGAAAGGUCUCGAAUCUUCGUUUGCUCGCUUCCCUCGCUCCGAAUUUGCGAGUGUCUUCUCUCAAUGGGCCUUGCUCAACGAGGCCAUUUUCUUUGCUAACGCUUCGCUCUCUUUGUUUGUCUUUUCAAAGACUUUUUCUAGCGCUUUCCUGGAUGUUUUGAAAACGUCGAUUGUCAUCCAGUCAGUAGUUGUUGAUUGAAAACCUUGACCUUUGAUUCUAAAGCGAAUAUCCCUUUUCAUCCCUAACUUUUUUGAAAGAGAUCGAGUACCUUUUCGAAGGAUUUUUCAAAACAUUUCCUCCCUCCCUUUGAUGGGUAAAAUACUGGCUUUUGCGUUCGCGUUUCUAAAGGUUCUUUCUCUCUCUUUUCUUUUGCUCUCUACAAAAAGUUUCAAAACUUCUUCCUCCAGCAACCCUUCAAUUUGAACGGAGGCUUUUCAAAUUCGUUUUGCUUUCCACAAAGAAGCUACUGUGUGCCGAUAAUUUCGGUGAUUUGGAAUUGGAUAAAUCUACGUGCACUGCUGCUUGGCAUUCCUUUUCGAACUCGAAGCGGUUGUCGACGGUCGUGUUCUGUGCUACAGUGCUACAGCUACAGCUACAGUAGCUACGUACGGUACACACGCUGCUGCCCGUUUUUUGGUUUUGCGAUUGCUGCUGGCUGUUCCACUUCUUCACUGGUAUCAGAAUUGAUGGCAUGCGAAUACAAAUAAACGAUCGGAUUCGCUGUCUUUUUGGUACAACAAGUGGGUGUUUUUCGAUUAAAAUUUCACUUUUUGUGCGAUUUUCCCGCUGAAAAAAAUGGGAUUUGCCUGCCUCUUGAGUGAAAAUUAUUUCUAGCUUUUUGAGAGCAUUUUUGGAAUUGUAAAAAAAUCAUCCUAGAAACCAUUUCAAAUGACUUUAUGCUUAAUUGAUGAAAUUACACUAAAAACCGGUUGCUUACUGCUAUACCCCCGCCGCGAACGGCGAAUUUCUACCUCAUUUCGUGGUUUUGUACUGAAAGGAAGCUGGAUUGUUACGGUAGAUUGUGCCUGCAUCAUUUUCGGAAUUGUAAAUUAAUCA